rnacentral:rRNA from 1 species
UGGGGAAUAUUGGACAAUGGGCGCAAGCCUGAUCCAGCCAUGCCGCGUGAGUGAUGAAGGCCCUAGGGUUGUAAAGCUCUUUCACCGGUGAAGAUAAUGACGGUAACCGGAGAAGAAGCCCCGGCUAACUUCGUGCCAGCAGCCGCGGUAAUACGAAGGGGGCUAGCGUUGUUCGGAUUUACUGGGCGUAAAGCGCACGUAGGCGGACUUCUAAGUCAGGGGUGAAAUCCCGGGGCUCAACCCCGGAACUGCCUUUGAUACUGGAAGUCUUGAGUAUGGUAGAGGUGAGUGGAAUUCCGAGUGUAGAGGUGAAAUUCGUAGAUAUUCGGAGGAACACCAGUGGCGAAGGCGGCUCACUGGACCAUUACUGACGCUGAGGUGCGAAAGCGUGGGGAGCAAACAGG